AGAAUCAACGCUGGCGGCGUGCCUAACACAUGCAAGUCGAACGAGAAAGUGGAGCAAUCCAUGAGUAAAGUGGCGCACGGGUGAGUAACACGUGACUAACCUACCCUUGAGUGGGGGAUAACCUAGAGAAAUCUGGGCUAAUACCGCAUAAUACCUUCGGGUCAAAGGAGCAAUUCGCUUAAGGAGGGGGUCGCGGCCGAUUAGUUAGUUGGCGGGGUAAUGGCCCACCAAGACUAUGAUCGGUAUCCGGCCUGAGAGGGCGCACGGACACACUGGAACUGAAACACGGUCCAGACUCCUACGGGAGGCAGCAGUGGGGAAUUUGCGCAAUGGGGGAAACCCUGACGCAGCAACGCCGCGUGGAGGAUGAAGUCCCUUGGGACGUAAACUCCUUUCGAUCGGGACGAUAAUGACGGUACCGAGAGAAGAGCCCCGGCUAACUUCGCGCCAGCAGCCGC
rnacentral:rRNA from 1 species